rnacentral:rRNA from 1 species
UACUCCCGCCGGCGACCGGCGCACGGGUGAGUAACACGUAUGAAACCUGCCCGUAGCAGGGGGAUAAGCGGAAGAAAUUCCGUCUAAUACCGCGUAACAACCCGAGGAGGCAUCUCCUCGGGUUUAAAGGAAGCGAUUCCGGCUACGGAUGGUCAUGCGUCGCAUUAGCUAGUUGGCGGGGUAACGGCCCACCAAGGCGACGAUGCGUAGGGGGUUCUGAGAGGAAGGUCCCCCACACUGGUACUGAGACACGGACCAGACUCCUACGGAAGGCAGCAG